ACUCAACACGAAUCUAUUAUGAAGGACGAGUCUUAAUUGCUAAAGCAAGCCUUAGAUAUUGAAUCAACUUCAUUAUCAAGAGGAUCCUUGAUCAGUUAGUUAGUUCUAUACAUGUCAUAAUGGAGUUU
rnacentral:sRNA from 1 species